rnacentral:misc_RNA from 1 species
GCACUCUUCAAUUUUCAUUCGUUUCUUACGGUUGUGCUAUUGGGAAUUUGUACUUGCACUUUUGUGAAGAUGCACUUUCCAGCAAUCCUGGAACAGAGAACAGGGUUUCGAGGGUUUUUCUGGAAGGCAGCCAGAAUAGGUGAGCGGUUGAGCCCCUGGGUGGCUGUGGGGUGCUUCACAAUGGGUGUGUCGAUAAUAUUUUUCUGAGGAAGAAGAAUCUUAUUUGCGUAUUUGGACGUAAGCUCUGUUUUUU